ACAGUAAAUUCUAGGGUUACAGAGUCCAGGAUGCCAAGAAGAAGCAGUAAGACAGCGAGCUGCGACCUGCUAGACAAAGAAAGAGCCUUAUUGACAGUUGUAAAGCAUCAGGCGUCAGACAGAAACUUGUCAAAAACAGCUGUUGUUGGGUACUGAUUGAUAAUGUUUUCAUUCUGACGGCUGCGACGCCUCAGACAGUCUCGGGGGCUGUGGAGAAGCCCAUCACUGGCGCACAUGAACACACACAGACAACGGGAAGUCAUUUAACAGAUGGCAAGGAGCGUUCGGCCACAAGAUCCUCAAAAGACAACAUUCUGCAUUUAAUGAACUUGCAGGGAGAGCAAAGCCCGGAAAAAAAAAAUCAUUCAUUUAUUUAUUUUCAUGGAAGAUGAGCACGGGAGGGACAAAAUAAAAACAGGAAUCGUUUAACUGCUCAUGUGGAUUAAAGGUUUGUGCUGCCUGUGGAUCGUCACAGUUUUAAAAAUAUUCAAGGAUACUUUAGACAAAAUGAAUUAUCAUGGGUCCUUCUCUGGGCCAUGCCAUAUAUAUAUAUAUAUAUAUACAUAUAUACAUACAUAUAUAUGUAUAUAUAUAUAAGCUUAAAGAAGUGUGGGGUCUUUUUUAUUAAAAUCCAUUUACAAGAUGAAAUCACAAAUACUGCAUUUGAGCACUGUGCAGGGUUCUGAGGACUCUCCUCUGGAGAGUCACAAGGUUUCCUGUCACCCUGUGAUAAAUAUGGCCCUAAGUCUGUGGCAUCGGGGUAUCAGUCUACACUACCUAAAAAUGACAGACAUGGUUUUUUUAUUGCUUGGGCUUAGGGAGCAGUUUUCUAUCAUUUGGCCACUUAGUAUUUUAAUGAGUGGUCAAGUGUCUACAAGAUAUGCCAAAGAAUAUUUCAUCUAUGAACCUGAAUAUUCAUAGAUUAGUCCUGAUUUCAAAAAGGUCAAAGGUGCUAAAUCUUACUAAAACUGUACAUUUUACUCUAGGCAAUUGUAUCAUUUAAAUUAAGUGGAAAAAAAUUAGUUUCAGACUGAGUUUAUUUAUCUGCUGUAGCCCAGCAUACUCUAAGGGCACAUUGACACCCCUGAAAAUAGAGGUUUAUAAUAAAAGUACUGACAGACCUUUAACAACUCAAUGAGCACACUCCCCUAAGUGACAUUAGCCUUUGAUGAAUAAAUAACGGGGUUCCUCUUUGAGCUUCAUCAAACCCAUGCCAGCUUAAGUCCUAACCGUGAAUUAGACUUUGGCUGUUAUGUUAAUUAUUUGAAAAGCCAUUUUCCAGAUUUCAUUCAAACAUUUCUGAUUUCUAGGAAAGGCCGAUGCGUAUGUUGCAGCUCGGUUUUAUGCAGACUAAUGACGUUAAAAAUAUUUGAGGAGUUCAGAUUCAAAUCAGUGGUGCCUGUUCUUGCCUAAACUGGUUCCCACUCCCUUAGCUAGGAUGCCCUCCUCCUAAGGCAGGGGACACGGCCGCAGGCAGGACCAAGCAAUUCUUCCAUGUCUACUUUCUAGAGUUUUUCAAUUCUUCCAUGUCUACUUUCUAGAGUUUUUCAAUUCUUCCAUGUCUACUUUCUAGAGUUUUUCAGAGCCAGAGAAGAUGACUGGGUGAAGUUUUGGGCCGCCAUUUUCACUCAGCCUACAAAGUCAAUAUCCUCACACACACAAGAAAACAAUAUGAAAACCAGAUGAGAUAAAAUAAAAUG
rnacentral:lncRNA from 1 species